GACAGAGGAGCCAAGCGUUGUCCGGAUUGACUGGGCGUAAAGCGUGCGCAGGCGGUCUGUUAAGACCGAUGUGAAAUCCCCGGGCUUAACCUGGGAACUGCAUUGGUGACUGGCAGGCUUUGAGUGUGGCAGAGGGAGGUAGAAUUCCACGUGUAGCAGUGAAAUGCGUAGAGAUGUGGAGGAAUACCGAUGGCGAAGGCAGCCUCCUGGGCCAACACUGACGCUCAUGCACGAAAGCGUGGGGAGCAAACAGG
rnacentral:rRNA from 1 species